CCUGAGCCUCCCUGAGAGCAUGGCUGUCCUGGUGCUGCUCCUCUGCCUGGUGACCUUCCCAAGCUGUGCCCUGUCCCAGGUGCAGCUGAAGGAGUCAGGACCCGGCUUGGUGCAGCCCUCACAGCCCCUGUCUCUCACCUGCACUGUCUCUGGGUUCUCAUUAAACAGCUAUGGUAUACACUGGGUUCGCCAACCUCCAGGAAAGGGUCUGGAGUGGAUGGGUGUUAUAUGGAGUGGUGGAAGCACAGAUUAUAAUUCAGCCCUCAAAUCCAGACUCAGCAUCAGCAGGGACACCUCCAAGAGCCAAGUUUUCUUAAAAAUGAACAAUCUGCAAACUGAGGACACAGCUGUGUACUACUGUGCCAGAGACACAGUGAGGGAACUCCAGUGUGAGCCUGCACAAAAACCUCCUCACUGUAGGGAUGCUCAUGACCAGCAGGGGGCGAUGAGGACCAACAGAGAAGUCUCAGCACCAGUGAGGGUCACUUUGAUUCUAGGAAGAUCAGGUCUACGCUGCAUGACCCUGUAUUCAGUGUUAGAACCUGCUGAUAUUUCUUCCAGUCAAGAAAAUCCUCUAGAAACCUCACUGUAG